rnacentral:rRNA from 1 species
AUACGGAGGGUGCGAGCGUUAAUCGGAAUUACUGGGCGUAAAGGGUGCGUAGGCGGCUUGAUAAGUCGGAUGUGAAAGCCCCGGGCUUAACCUGGGAAUUGCAUUCGAUACUGUCAGGCUAGAGUAUGUCAGAGGUUGGCGGAAUUCCUGGUGUAGCGGUGAAAUGCGUAGAUAUCAGGAGGAACACCAGUGGCGAAGGCGGCUAACUGGGGCAAUACUGACGCUGAGGCACGAAAGCGUGGGGAGCAAACAGGGUUAGAAACCCUAGUAGUCC